AAGUGUUAAAGCUCUUUUAUAAUUUGUCUAGUAGGGUUUCUGGCUUUUGUUGGAAAACCCCU
ensembl:snRNA U7 U7 small nuclear RNA